GCCCACUUAGCUCAGAGGUCAGAGCAUCGCAUUUGUAAUCCGAGGGUCAUCGGUUCAAAUCCAAUAGUCAGCU
rfam:Triticum urartu cultivar G1812 contig610803, whole genome shotgun sequence.